rnacentral:hammerhead_ribozyme from 1 species
GUCCAGGUGCCGAGUCCCAAAUAGGACGAAACGCGUGUCCUGGAU